CAGGAGUACGUGUAGUCCCUCUCGUUAGUCCAUUCCCAGAGGGCAGAUACGACUCUUGGU
rnacentral:pre_miRNA from 1 species